rnacentral:rRNA from 1 species
AUACGAAAGGUGCAAGCGUUGUUCGGAUUUACUGGGCGUAAAGAGAGUGUAGGUGGUUUAUUAAGUCGGAUGUGAAAUCCCGGGGCUCAACCUCGGAACUGCAUUCGAUACUGAUAGGCUAGAGUUUGGGAGGGGUAAGCGGAAUUCCGUGUGUAGCAGUGAAAUGCGUAGAUAUACGGAGGAACACCUGAGGCGAAGGCGGCUUACUGGACCAAUACUGACACUGAGACUCGAAAGCGUGGGUAGCAGACAGGAUUAGAUACCCCAGUAGUCC